UUAAGAGAUGUUGUCAUUGAUUAUUGUUUAAUCUAAACAGGUGGGUGGACGGAAGUUAUUCCUCGAGGAGAAUGUAGAGAAUGUUCAGACGGUUCUGGUUGUGCUUAUAGAUGGUAAUUCUGUAAUAAAUGGAAUACUUGUGACAAUGGAGAGGAUGAAAAUUAGGAUAUAUGUAAAGAUUUGGAAUGCCAAAAAGGAAAAAUGAAAUGUAAAGACGGGAUACAGUGUGUUCCGGCAUAUACUUUAUGUGAUUACUACGCCUACUGUAAAGAUGAUUCUGAUGACGAUCCUGAAAUGUGCAAAAAUCGAACGUGUCCAACUGAUACAACGAAGUGUAGCGAUGGUAUUGCCUGUUAUUCGGAAAGAGAUCGCUGUAAUGGUGAGGAAUUUUGCAAAACUGGUGAUGAUGAAGAUAUAGAAAUGUGCAAAGAUUUUCAGUGCCCACC